UAGCAAAUUUAUAAUUUUGGAAUGUAACAACGGUCUAACAUACUGCGAGAGGAUCGUAACAAUACAUUGAAGCGCCGAAAUAGGUAAAACCAUUGAUGUAAAGAAGAAUGGCAAUGACCAUACAAAUUAAAAUAUAAGAACUAGUUACCUCUCUUAAUAUUUAAAUGUUCUCUCUGUUUGCAAAAGUUUCUUUCUGUAGUGUGCCACUCAUUAUGUGAGGUUCGCGUUUUCCGACUUGGACUGAAGCAGCUAAGUGCCGUGAUAUAAAGGGCAAGCUUAAAUACUAAUCGGAAGUUUCGCAAUCUCUAUACUUCUCUCAUACAUCUAGUCUGAGAUGUUUUCUUAGCCUUAAAAUGAGUAUUGGUUCAGUCGAAAUUACAAUAUAUUAACGACCGUUAUAAUAACAUUCCUGGGGCAAAUGAAACGAAAACUAAUUUACUCCUUCAUUAUUACUGAUAAUAAAUUGUUAAAACGGCAGCAAAGUAAUUAAAAAAUCGCACGAAUCAUUUGCGAUAAGCUUGGGAAAUGUGACGUGGAAAUAUUUUAAUUCUGGAACUCACAUACAUAUGUGUGUGUACAUGUAUAUUUAGCGUUGUGUUUCGGUUUUUAAUAAAUACCGAGCUUUUAACACUUGAGCACAGAAGAUAUUUGUUUCAUAUCGAAUUUUAGCACCAAUGGCAGCAACAAAGAAAAUACUUUUGAUCUGCAUUACGAUGCCUCUUCUAAUAGCGGUAUUGGGGAUGUUACUGCCUACCGUAGAAGCUGGAAAUGUCGCUUUAGUGAAACGCUCCCCACAGUAUUCCGUGCCUCAGCCCACCGUAGAUCUUAUUGUACGAUUGGAACCAGUGUUGAGAACUCUUCUAGGUAUCUUAUCCCCAGUAGUGGGAUAAGUCAAAACCAUAACAUCAAAUUAUUCCUACUCUUUAAACUUUUCGCUGUUCUCCAAACACAUUUAUGUAUAUGCUAUCUACUAACACCCGGUGUCAGGUUUAUAUUAAAUUGAAUAUUACGAAAUCAAAA